AUCGCUUCUCGGCCUUUUGGCUAAGAUCAAGUGUAGUA
rnacentral:snRNA from 3 species